GCAAGUCGAGGGGCAUCAUGUCGGUUGCUUGCAACCGAUGAUGGCGACCGGCGCACGGGUGCGUAACGCGUAUCCAACCUUCCGCACACUAAGGGAUAACCCGUUGAAAGACGGCCUAAUACCUUAUGUCAUUUACGGCAGACAUCUAAUGUAGAGUAAAGAAUCAUCGGUGUGUGAUGGGGAUGCGUCUGAUUAGGCAGUUGGCGGGGUAACGGCCCACCAAAACGACGAUCAGUAGGGGUUCUGAGAGGAAGGUC
rnacentral:rRNA from 1 species